AACCUGGUUGAUCCUGCCAGUAGUGAUAUGCUUGUCUCAAAGAUUAAGCCAUGCAUGUCUAAGACUAGGGUUUUCUCUACUCUGAAUCUGCGAACGGCUCAUUAAAUCAGUAAUUAUCUAUUUGACUAGUGACUUUUUUUACUUGGAUACCCUCAGUAAAGCCGAGAUCAAUACAUGCACGACAUUAUUUGGUGGUUUGAGUGAAUUCUCAUUUUCUCAGCCUCCAACGUGUUUAUUGGAUUUCUUAGACCAGCGUCUUGGGUUGAGUUUACUCCGCCCAAGUCCCGUUUGGUGACUCACGAUAACUUGACGAAUCGCACAGAUCAAAGAAUCUUUUCUUUGGGCGAUGUAUCAUUCGAAUUUCUGCCCUAUCAACUUUGAUGGUAGGAUCGAGGCCUACCAUGGUGGUAACGGGUGACGGGAGAUCUGCGUUUGACUCCGGAGAGGGAGCCUGAGAGACGGCUACCACAUCCAAGGAAGGCAGCAGGCGCGCAAAUUGCCCAAUCCUGACGCAGGGAGGUAGUGACAAAAAAUAACAAUACCGAGGACGUACUGUUUUUGGUAAUUGGAAUGAGUACAAUUUAAAUCCCUUAACGAGGAUCUAUUGGAGGGCAAGUCGGGUGCCAGCAGCCGCGGUAAUUCCUGCUCCAAGAGUUUAUAUAUGUGUUGCUGCAGUUGAAAAGCUCGUAGUUGGGAGUUGGAGAGGUUGGGUUGGUGGUUUUGGCGUUUGGGAUUCUGUCCCAGCGCCGGUUAAAUACGUACAUCAGUACGUGGCCACGCCCAUCCACUUUUUUUUGUUCAAGUGGUUAGGUGAGUUUUCUCGCCUCCAUUUUUGAACGUGUUACUUUGAGUAAAUCUGAGUGUUCAAAGCAGACGAGUUUCAUUCGUCUUGAAAGUUGUAGCAUGGAAUAACGUGAUAGGACUCCGGUGGCCCUUUUCAGUUGGUCUAAGCCGUUCCGGAGUAAUGACUAAGAGGGACAGUCGGGGGCACUCGUACUUCCUUGUCAGAGGUGAAAUUCUUGGAUUUAGGAAAGACGAACCACUGCGAAAGCAUUUGCCAAGGAUGUUUUCAUUAAUCAAGAACGAAAGUUGGGGGCUCGAAGAUGAUCAGAGACCGUUGUAGUCCUAUUGACUGUAAACGAUGCCGACUGGGGAUCUGGGGUGUUAGAAAUUUGGCGUAUGGGAGUGGUAGGAGUGUUCCUCUUGCCACCCCAAUCGCCCUCCCAGGCACCCUCCGAGAAAUCAAAGUGUAUGGGUUCCGGGGGGAGUAUGGUCGCAAGGCUUAAACUUGAAGGAAUUGACGGAAGGGCACCACAAGGCGUGGAGCCUGCGGCUCAAUUUGACUCAACACGGGGAAACUUACCAGGUCCAGACAUAGUGAGGAUUGACAGACGAGAUGAGCUGGGGGGUGGGGUUUUCCGCUCCUCCUCCACUCUCUCACUAUUGAGAGCUCUUUCGAGAUUCUAUGGGUGGUGGUGCAUGGCCGUUCGUAGUUGGUGGGUUAUCUUGUCAGGUUUAUUCCGGUAACGAACGAGACCUCAGCCUGCUAAAUAGAGAGAUUUUUGAAAUUAUUUUCAAGAUCCACAUUCUCUUCUUAGAGGGACUCCUGACAACUACUUAAGUCAGCGGAAGCUUGAGGCAAAAACAGGUCUGUGAUGCCCUUAGAUGUUCUGGGCCGCACGCGCGCUACACUGAUGCAUGCAACGAGUUAGGUGUGAGUUGGGGUGAGGGUUCUAUUCCUCACCUCAACUCCCUCCUUGGCCGAGAGGCCCGGGCACUCUUGUGAACCUGCAUCGUGACGGGGCUAGAUCUUUGCAAUUAUGGAUCUUCAACGAGGAAUGCCUAGUAGGCGUUGGUCAUCAGCCAGCGUCGAUUACGUCCCUGCCCUUUGUACACACCGCCCGUCGCUUCUACCGAUUGGACGCUGCGGUGAAGACCUGGGAUUGAGAUGGGGUUGUUUGGGUGGGAUUUUGUUCCACACUGCACGUCGUCCCGAGAACUCGUCUGAACCCCAUCGUCUAGAGGAAGAAGAAGUCGUAACAAGGUUUCCGUAGGUGAACCUGCAGAAGGAUCA
rnacentral:rRNA from 1 species